UACGGAGGGGGCGAGCGUUAUUCGGAAUUAUUGGGCGUAAAGGGCGCGUAGGCGGCCCGAUAAGUCAAAGGUGAAAUCCCUCGGCUCAACUGAGGAACUGCCUUUGAAACUGUCGAGCUUGAGUCCGGGAGGGGGUAGCGGAGUUCCCAGUGUAGCGGUGAAAUGCGUAGAUAUUGGGAGGAACACCAGUGGCGAAGGCGGCUACCUGGACCGGAACUGACGCUGAGGCGCGAAAGCGUGGGUAGCAAACAGG
rnacentral:rRNA from 1 species